rnacentral:piRNA from 1 species
UGAUGAGAGUAAAAUGCCUACAAGGGGCAGA